GGACAACGUAGGGUGACAUGGGGUGACACAGGGUGGCACGGGGUCACGUAGGAUGACACAGAGUGACAUGGGGUGACAUGGGGUGGCACAAGGUCACAUGGGGUGACAUGGGGUGACAGUGGGUGACAUGGGGUGACACGGGGUGACAUGGGGUCACAGCAGGUGACAUAAGGUGACAGUGGGUAACAUGGGGUGACAGCGGGUGACACGGGGUGACACGGGGUGUCAGUCCCAGGCCCCGCCCACGUCAGGC